GCAGAUCCAUCCAUUAGUGGCCUGGCCAUUGGAGAACACAGCUCCUCUUACCUCUUCAGAUUGCCACCUUCCUCUCUAAAGUCCCAAUCCCGACUGUACUUCUUCUUCCCAGCAAACACUGCAAUAGAGGCUCUUCCAUUUUUAGCUCAGUAUGGAGGGUGUUCAAUUGGACUAUACCAUUUAAAUUGGUGUACAGAUGGCUCAAAAGGGGCCCUUUGGUCACCAUAUAAUGCAAGUCUCCACUUGCUCCAUUGCCGAGGCAUAUAUGAACCCCUAUUGAACAGCCCCCUCAUCAAGCCACAUAUGACCUCACCCAAUGGCAUUCAGAUAUUUCAGGCUUCCACCAGUCAGAUAGUCUAUACAGAGAGCCGACUGUCACUUCUGGAGGCAGCUGAGGGCGCAGACAGGCUCCAAACAGGCCAGCUGCCAAGCUUUGCCAUUGGGUACAACUGGUGCAAAAUUCUGACAUCUCAAAAUAUAAUGUCUGCUGAAACUGAAAAUAACUCCUGCAUAAACAAGCCGCGGGUGGGAUGUUUUGUUAAAACAGCAAUAGGCCUAAUUGAGAACAAAACAUUAAAUCAUUUAAACAUUUAAAAUGCUCACGUAGCCUAUCAGUGCGAACUGCAAAUACUAUCCAACAUCCAAGUGUAGGAUUAUUUUCAGACAGGCAUCCGUUAACUGCCCGACGCCACGUGUUGUUAUCCCAAACAAACAAGUGCGGCAUCACUCUAGGUAGGCUGUAGACUACGCGGCCUGUGAAGUCUGAUCUAAUGCGAGACAUCUGCGAGAAGUCGUCUGCAAAUGAUAACUGGUUCUGGUAUGACGCCAGGAAUUAAGACAAUAUAUAACGGUAGGACAAAAACAUAAAUGUCAAAACGGGACUCACGCUUAAUGUUCAUGGAUUGCUUUCAAAGAUUUUGUUAAUGCGUCGCGUCCGUCAGUUCUUUUGAUGGACGUCAGCACAGCAUUACUAAUUUGUACCCAGAAGUGAGCAAAUGCCUUGUCCAAAUACCCACACUUGCGGUCUUUACACUUGACCACUUGACUAUACUUAUAUGACGUAUUUCCUAUAUUUAGCCCAAGUGUUCAAGUGAGAGUGAAGACCACAAGUGUGUGUAGGACUUUUCAUUACCUGAUGGGACAGACUUAUAGUGUUGUAAAUAUGCAAGUGUUUACAUAGCUUUAUUUUAAUCAAAAUUUUAAAUACUUUGCAUUUUAAAAUCAACUUCUAAAUAGGAUGUUCAGUAGUCCCUAUAACAUGACAUAAUUUAAUUAGAUAUUAUUCAAUUCUGUAUUCAAGAUACUGUGGAUUUAGUGUGUGUUAAGGGCACUGCGCUUUGGCGUUUUUAAGAACUGGGACAGUCUUGUGCAUUUACUUCCUGUCGUGCACACGUGCUCUCAAGUGGCUAAGACCGCACGUGUGGGUAUUUGGACAAGGCCAAACUCUCCUUUUGAGGAGAUUUUCAUUCUGUCUGAGGUCAGACAUUAAUUAAAGGGGUGGUUGAUUGCGAUUUCACUUUUUAAACGUUAGUGUGUAAUGUUGCUGUUUGAAAGUUGCAGUGCUGAAAGUUCAAUGCAAACAGAAAUAUCAUCUUUUAAAAUUCUGGCAGUUUAAUGCCUACAAAAAUGGCUGAUAAGGGACUACAAUGAGCUUCUUCCCAGGUCCAUUACGUCACAAACCCAGAUAAACCCCGCCCCCGGGAACACACAACAAAGAGGGCAAGGCCAUGUUGUGCUGCUUUAGAGAAGGGGAAGAGAAAUGGGGUGCAUGUAAAAUUCUGUUUAUAUAUGAAUCGUGAUUCUGUCUUCUAACGAUUCUAAUGGAUUCACAAGUUUCAAAACCAAUGUUCUAAAGCAGCGGUUCUCAAUCCUGUUUCUCGCGUGGCCCUGCUCUUUCUCUCUCCCUCUCUCUUUCUCUCUCUCUCUCCCUCUCCCUCUCAUUCAGAUCGUCAGAUCAGCUCCAACAAACUGUUCCAUUUAUACACUUAUUUUCAAAUAGCAAUGAGAAGUGUUAUACAUGGACGCGUGUACGGUUGCUAACCGUAUAUUAAAAGCUAACAGAAGCAGUAGCAUUUACAAACAACAGCGUAUCUAAAAGUAUGAGACAACAUCAAACAAACAUACAAUUAAGAGCAGUGCUAGCACAGGUUCCUCUUCAUUAAUAUUCUCUCCGUCUCAGUCGGGCUCAAAUUGAUAAGCAGUAUAGAGGACGUCAUUGUUUACAAUACAACUGGAGCACAUUCUGAGCUUGAGGGGCGGGAUGUUCAGGGUCCGAGCCCUGGUUCGUCACAUGUGGUUCUUCACUCAAGUACGGCGGCCGCCGCUCACUCUAGCCCGCAGUGUGUGACGCUGUGUAACACAUUUUAUGGAGGUCUGUUUGGCCUGAACCUGCAGAGUAGCCUACAAUUGGUCUGUGCUCAAAGGCUGUUCUAUAAAGUGGGGCAGUUCCAACUUUGCAAGGACAGUCUGGCGCUUCUGACUCACAGCUUUUAAGUAAAUUUUUUAUAUUUAAAGAAUUUGCCACUGAUGAUUCAAACUCAAGUUUUGAGCAGUGUAGAGUAGCGCUUGUUGUUUGUUGUUUCUUCAAUCACAAAUGCAGACAUGGUUUUAUGUUUACGCGGCACGAUACGCAACGCGUAAAAACACACUAUAAGUCAUUAUCAUCAGUAAUUAUGUUCCCACUGGAUGUAACAAAUGCCUCGUUUGUAAUGGGUUUAUUGGUUUUGACUCGUCGCACUGGGAGACGGCAUCACAGUAUGUUAAGCAGUGUAACAUUCCCAUCAUACGCUUAAGGUAUUCAGCCAAUCACAACGCACUGGAUAGCUGGCCAAUCAGAGCACACCUCGCUUUUCAGAACGAUGAGCUUUGUAAAAAUCGACGCAUUUCAGAAAGGCGGGGCAUAGAGGAGCACCAAUAAAGUACAUUACGUGGAAAAUAAUGUGUUUUUUGAACCUUUAACCACAUAAACACAUUGAAUUACACCAAAUACACAACAUAAUGUUCUUUUUAGCAACGUCGUAUGACUCCUUUAAUAAAAUUACCAGGCAAGCUUGUUGAUUUAAAAGAGUCUUGCAUUAAAGAAUGUGUUUUUUGAACCUUUAACCACAUAAACACAUUGAAUUACACCAAAUACACAACAUAAUGUUCUUUUUAGCAACGUCGUAUGACUCCUUUAAUAAAAAUUACCAGGCAAGCUUGUUGAUUUAAAAAGAGUCUUGCAUUAAAAGAUUAUUUUUACUUUACUUGUUCUUUCUUUUUGGUUUUGCGUUUUUGUUUAAUGGAUUUUAAUUUAUUUAUUUAUGUAUUUAUUUAUUUAUUUAUUUAUUUAUUUAAAUCAGCUUCCUCUGAUUAUGAAACUUUGUAUUUGUUCUGCAGUAAAUAUAGUAUUGGCGUAAAUCAUCUGGCAGAUUACAAGAUGAACAAGGUGUAAGUGUGCAUUAAAAGUCCCAGUGGGUGAUAGGCACAAUAUUAAAGUGUUUUAAAAUGUUUUUCUGUGAAGUAUCAUGUCUGACAAUUUAUCAAUGCUUUAUAUUGAUUUAAAAACAUUUUAUAUACCCUUCAAGCUCCUAAAGGAAAUUGACAAAUUAUAAUGUUGUGUUUAAAAUAUAUUUUAAUAAUAUUCUAUUGACACACGAUAUACUGUACUAUGAAAUGCCAAAUAAAGCCUGUUCCACCUUAUGUGCAGUUGUCUUCACCUACAGUAUAUUGCAUGAGUCCAUAUUGUCCAUAUAUUAAAAGUUGUGAUUACACAAUAUAACCACAUUGAUGUGAAAAUUAAGUAUGAAAAAAAUGCCAUAUUGUUAAGUGAUUAAUUAUCCCAUAUGGUGUGUGUUAGUGUUAAUGCUUGAUGAUCAAAACCUUUGGUGUACUUUACCCAUAUCUUUCUUUUAUCAAUAUUACUUAGAAACUGGAGUAAUAAUAUGUUUUUCUGGUGUUUUAGAAAAAAAUGAUAUAUCUUACUUUUCAUGACUGCACCACAACAGAUGGAGAAAGAUCAGGGAACAUUUGACUUCUCAUGAUAUGACCCAUUCAGUGCUUUAUGGCUGAAUGUAAUGAACAUUAUUCAAAAAGAGUAGACGGCCUUUCAAAACUUCUUCAGUACUCACUCAUACAGUAUAAUGCCACAUUUAAGGCAUGUGACAUAAAUGGAAAAUUCCUGAUGGAUCAUAGGAGCUCUGUCUGAGUGUUGGGUACUGUCCAUGGUGCUGUAGCAUUUCUGUGACUUCCUUCUUUUUCUUGGAAUUGUACAGGUAGGUUGGUAAGGUAGAUCGUGUAAUUUGUUUUUCUUUGUUUGUUAGAUUACUUUAAGUUACAGUUUGAUUAUGUUAUCCUCACACAUGCUUCUAGAGCCACUGGGAAAUAAGCUGCAGAGAAAAUCCGUUUUUGUCAAGUAGCAACAAGUCCAGAGCUCAUGUACUAUGGCAUAAGCGUAUGUUGGACGGACGAAAUAUUUCCAUGCCAAUGCAACAAUGGCAAGAACAAUACGUCUUUAAUCUAUAGUGAACAAAACCGUGCCCACGUACCCUGAGCUCUUGACAAAGUCCACUUCAGAUAAUAGCAGGACGAGUACAUUUUUGCAUAAGUUUUUUGCUUCAGUUAACUUUCUUCUCGCGUUUCUUCGUGUUCUUUUAUCAUUUUUAAACGUUGCCUUUAAGUUUCGUUCUCUGUUUUUCCGAGACCUGAAGAAGUAGAAGAAGAAAAGCCACUCUGAAUAAAUCCAGUAGUGCGCUCUUAAAGUGUUUUAUUGGUAUCAAGGCGCUAACUUGAAACAGAUUAUCUUUGAACUGUUACUUAUUUUAAUGUAGCAUACUGUAAUUGAACGCGGUUUUACUCCAUUACAUGAUGUUUAUAACCAGCAGCUCCCAUUCUUUCCCACAAGUAGUUUCAAUAGCAGCAGUAUUACAACAAAUAACGUGACUCUAAUCCUAUAAUUAAUCGAUUUCGUAGUUUUUACGGCAAGCGGCAUAGGCCUAAAUAACUCUUCUAUCUAAACCCAACUUUAUUCAAUGGUGUAAUGAUGUAAAACUCUUAUAAAAAUCUUUAAAAUGUGUUAUGAACAAGAAAGCCCUUAAGUUGACUUCUGUUUUGGAUUUGUAUAGUUUAAUUUAAAAGCCGUUUUUUAUGUUUCUUAUGUACUUAUUUUUCUUUCUGGUUCAGUUUGGUUUAUUUUGACGCUUUAAUUAAUUUAUAAUUUAUUUAUUUGUUUGUUGUUGUUGCUGUUUUAUUUUUGGUUAUGCUCAACCAAGGCUGAAUAAGAUUGGAUUUAUUUUGGAAUGUGAUUAUGUACCUUGUUUGGUUGUAAAGCUGAUGCAUUAAACAAACAAACUUCUCUCUUCCGUUGAUCAGAGGCACUGAGAAGUGUUACGUCCACAACACAGCGCCUCC
rnacentral:lncRNA from 1 species